GGAGAACGACCUAAGGUCUAACGGUUAAAGCCUAAAGACCGCGCAAAAACACUCUAAAGACAGAAAUUAUUAUCAUUUAAUCUCUUUCGACUUAUGACUUAAAGCCUCUUAAAGCAAGGUUGUGGA